UACAGAGGGUGCAAGCGUUGUUCGGAAUUAUUGGGCGUAAAGGGCGCGUAGGCGGUGCGGUAAGUCUGCGGUGAAAUCUCCCGGCUCAACUGGGAGGCUGCCGUGGAAACUGCCGUGCUUGAGUGUGGGAGAGGUGAGUGGAAUUCCCGGUGUAGCGGUGAAAUGCGUAGAUAUCGGAAGGAACACCAGUGGCGAAAGCGGCUUCCUGGUCCAGCACCGACGUUCAGGCACGAAAGCGUGGGGAGCAAACAGG
rnacentral:rRNA from 1 species